GACAGAGGUGCCAAGCGUUAGGCGGAAUCACUAGGCUUAAAGCGUGUGUAGGCGGAUCGUUAAGUACCUUGUGAAAUCCCACGGCUCAACCGAGGAAGUGCGCCCGAAACUGCAGAGCUUGAGUACCGGAGAGGGUGGCGGAAUUCCCCAAGUAGGAGGUGAAAUUCGUAGAUAUGGGGAGGAACACCGGUGGCGAAGGCGGCCACCUGGACGGAUACUGACGCUGAGACGCGAAAGCGUGGGGAGCAAACAGG
rnacentral:rRNA from 1 species